UUACGGCCAGAUCAUGUUGAAACAUUGGUUCCCGUACGAUCACCGAAGUUAAGCAACGUUGAGCCUGGUCGGUAUCUCAAUGGGUGACUGCUUGGGAAUACCAGGAGCUGUAAG